rnacentral:rRNA from 1 species
AGCGAACGUUAGCGGCGGGCCUAACACAUGCAAGUCGAACGAGAAUGAGGGGGCAACUCCUCUAGUAAAGUGGCGGACGGGUGCGUAACACGUAGGUAGUUUACCUUCCGGCGGGGGACGAACAGUCCGAAGGAACUGCUAAUACCGCAUACGUCGGCGAGGUCUCCGGACCUUGUCGGGAAAGGAUGGCCUCUCCUUGGAAGCUGUCACCGGAAGAUGAACCUGCGGCCCAUCAGCUAGUUGGUGAGGAACGGCUCACCAAGGCGAAGACGGGUAGCUGGUCUGAGAGGAUGAUCAGCCACACUGGGACUGCGACACGGCCCAGACUCCUACGGGAGG